rnacentral:rRNA from 1 species
UACGGAGGGGGCUAGCGUUGUUCGGAAUUACUGGGCGUAAAGCGCGCGUAGGCGGACCUGCAAGUCGGGGGUGAAAGCCCGAGGCUCAACCUCGGAACUGCCUUCGAUACUGCGGGUCUCGAGUCCGGGAGAGGUGAGUGGAAUUCCUAGUGUAGCGGUGAAAUUCGUAGAUAUUAGGAAGAACACCAGUGGCGAAGGCGGCUCACUGGCCCGGUACUGACGCUGAGGCGAGAAAGCGUGGGGAGCAAACAGG